UGGGGAAUAUUGGACAAUGGGCGAAAGCCUGAUCCAGCCAUGCCGCGUGUGUGAAGAAGGUCUUCGGAUUGUAAAGCACUUUAAGUUGAGAGGAAGGGCAGUAAGCGAAUACCUUGCUGUUUUGACGUUACCGACAGAAUAAGCACCGGCUAACUCUGUGCCAUCAGCCGCGGUAAUACAGAGGGUGCAAGCGUUAAUCGGAUUUACUGGGCGUAAAGCGCGCGUAGGUGGUUCGUUAAGUUGAAUGGGAAAGCCCCGGGCUCAACCUGGGAACUGCAUCCAAAACUGGCGAGCUAGAGUAGGGCAGAGGGUGGUGGAAUUUCCUGUGUAGCGGUUAAAUGCGUAGAUAUAGGAAGGAACACCAGUGGCGAAGGCGACCACCUGGGCUCAUACUGACACUGAGGUGCGAAAGCGUGGGGAGCAAACAGG
rnacentral:rRNA from 1 species